UACAGAUUAAUUCAAUGGUAGAAUAAUGUGUUUCGGCCACAUUCAUAUAGGUUCGAAUCCUGUAUCUGUUA